AGAUGUUUAGUCUAAACAAGACCACUAAUUUCGACUUAGUAAAUUAUGGUGAAAAACCAUAAACAUCUU
rnacentral:tRNA from 2 species